CUACGUCGUAAUCCCUAAACGAUAUAGGGGAAUCCAAUCCAUUGGACCUAUCUGUCCUUAGUUACCAUGUACCUAUAGUCCCUCAUCCAUCUAAUAUCCCAGAGACCAUAUAUCGAGCAUGGUGCUAUCAGACCCAUACGGUUUCUACUCAAGUCUUGCUCUAAUUAGAUUCUCCCGGAGAACUCUUUCUCUCUCAACCCGAAUGACCUUGGCCAGG
rnacentral:lncRNA from 1 species